UACGGAGGGUGCAAGCGUUAUCCGGAUUUACUGGGUUUAAAGGGUGCGUAGGUGGGCCUGUAAGUCAGUGGUGAAAUCUUCAAGCUUAACUUGGAAACUGCCAUUGAUACUAUAGGUCUUGAAUUAUCUGGAGGUAAGCGGAAUAUGUCAUGUAGCGGUGAAAUGCUUAGAGAUGACAUAGAACACCCAUUGCGAAGGCAGGUUACUGGUACGCAACUGACGCUGAGGCACGAAAGCGUGGGGAGCAAACAGG
rnacentral:rRNA from 1 species